UACGAAGGGGGCGAGCGUUGCUCGGAAUCACUGGGCGUAAAGCGUGCGUAGGCGGAUUUUUAAGUCGGAGGUGAAAGCCUGGGGCUCAACCCCAGAAUUGCCUUCGAUACUGAGAGUCUUGAGUUCGGUAGAGGUUGGUGGAACUGCGAGUGUAGAGGUGAAAUUCGUAGAUAUUCGCAGGAACACCAGUGGCGAAGGCGGCCAACUGGUCCGAAACUGACGCUGAGGCACGAAAGCGUGGGGAGCAAACAGG
rnacentral:rRNA from 1 species